GGAAUUUUGCGCAAUGGGCGGAAGCCUGACGCAGCAACGCCGCGUGGAGGAAGAAGGCCCUCGGGUCGUAAACUCCUGUCCAUGGGGAAGAUGGUGACGGUACCCUUGGAGGAAGCCCCGGCUAACUCCGUGCCAGCAGCCGCGGUAAUACGAAGGUGGCAAGCGUUGUUCGGAUUCACUGGGCGUACAGGGAGCGUAGGCGGUUGGGUAAGCCCUCCGUGAAAUCUCCGGGCCUAACCCGGAAAGUGCAGAGGGAACUGCUCAGCUAGAGGAUGGGAGAGGAGCGCGGAAUUCCCGGUGUAGCGGUGAAAUGCGUAGAGAUCGGGAGGAAGGCCGGUGGCGAAGGCGGCGCUCUGGAACAUUUCUGACGCUGAGGCUCGAAAGCGUGGGGAGCAAAC
rnacentral:rRNA from 1 species